UUUAGUGGCCUCAGUAGAGCCAGUUAGUGGCCUCAGUACAGCCAGUUAGUGGCCUCAGUACAGCCAGUUAGUGGCCUCAGUACAGCCAGUUAGUGGCCUCAGUACAGCCAGUUAGUGGCCUCAGUACAGCCAGUUAGUGGCCUCAGCAGUCACGUGGUAUACUACUCGUAUCACAGCUCAGCAAUAGAAGCUAUAAUGCUAAAAGUAUGGCACAUUAUCUUCUGCGCUGGAUCACUGCAGGAUCAGACAAAUAAAAAUGUUCUUUGAGUAUUGGAAACACUUAAAUUAAAGCACUAGACAGGAAGAGCCGAGAGCUGAUGGAAGCUUUCCUGAAUUACUUGCUGUUUUUGUCCUUCACUGUUCUAAGAGGUCAUGGCUUACUAAAGCUGGUGUACCAACUUGGCAGGACUAGAAGUGGUGAGAUAAUGUGUUCAAUAGCCAAGGACAGGGAGUGUACAGGUCACUCACAGCUCUGCAAAGAAUCCUGUGGAAACAAGAACAUCCCCUCAGAUGAGUAGAACACGCAGGUCUAAUAACUUUACAAAUAAAUUCUGGUGGUAUUGGCUGAUGGUACCGACAAUUAGGCA